AGUGAACGCUGGCGGCGUGCUUAAGACAUGCAAGUCGAACGGCGGCCUUCGGACUGUAGUGGCGCACGGGUGAGUAACGCGUAACUGACCUACCCCAAAGUCGCGGAUAACGAUUCGAAAGAAUCGCUAAUACGUGAUGUGCUGUCAGAUUGUGUUCUGCCAGUAAAGAUUGAUUGCUUUGGGACGGGGUUGCGUUCCAUCAGCUAGUUGGUGGGGUAAAGGCCCACCAAGGCGACGACGGCUAGCCGGCCUGAGAGGGUGGCCGGCCACAGGGGCACUGAGACACGGGUCCCACUCCUACGGGAGGCAGCAGUUAGGAAUCUUCCACAAUGGGCAAAAGCCUGAUGGAGCGGCGCCGCGUGAGGGAUGAAGGUCUUCGGAUCGUAAACCUCUGAAUCAGGGACGAAAGACACUUCGGUGGGACGACGGUACCUGAGUAAUAGCACCGGCUAACUCCGUGCCAGCCGCCGCCGUAAAAC
rnacentral:rRNA from 1 species